AAACAUGUCUUUAAGAUAAUAAUUUAAAGUCGAAUCUGCUCCAUGAUUGAAAAAUUAAAUAGCUGCAGAAUAUUAACUGUACAAAGGUAGCAUAAUCAAUAGUUUUUUAAUUGAAAGCUAGAAUGAAUGAUUUAAUAAGGUAAAAAUUGUCUCAAAUUUAAUGAAAUUAAAAUUUUUUUUUAAGUAAAAAUACUUAAAUAAAUUUAAAAGACGAGAAGACCCUAUAGAUUUUAAUAUUUUAAAUUAAAUAAUAUUUAAAAAGUUUUAAGUAAUAAAUUUUAAUUAAAAAAUAUUUAAUUGGGGAAAUUAUUAAAUUUAAAAAAUUUUAAUUUUUAAAAAACAAAAAUUAUUGAAUUAAAGAUUUUAAUUAUUUAAAUUAAAAGAAUAAAAUACCUUAGGGAUAACAGCGUAAUUUUUUUUGAGAGAUCUAAUUGAUAAAAAAGUUUGCGACCUCGAUGUUGAAUUAAGAUAAAAAUUUUAGUGAAGAAGUUAAAAAUUUUUGGUCUGUUCGACCAUUAAAAUCUUACGUGAUCUGA
rnacentral:rRNA from 1 species